rnacentral:tRNA from 1 species
GGAGGUAUAACAUAGUAGUAGAGUGCCUGCCAGGUAUACAUGAGGCCCUGGGUUUGAUUCCCAGCACCACCC